rnacentral:rRNA from 1 species
UGGGGAAUUUUGGACAAUGGACGCAAGUCUGAUCCAGCCAUGCCGCGUGCGGGAAGAAGGCCUUCGGGUUGUAAACCGCUUUUGUCAGGGAAGAAACGAGUUUCUCUAAUACAGAGACUUAAUGACGGUACCUGAAGAAUAAGCACCGGCUAACUACGUGCCAGCAGCCGCGGUAAUACGUAGGGUGCAAGCGUUAAUCGGAAUUACUGGGCGUAAAGCGUGCGCAGGCGGUUAUGUAAGACAGAUGUGAAAUCCCCGGGCUCAACCUGGGACCUGCAUUUGUGACUGCACAGCUAGAGUACGGUAGAGGGGGAUGGAAUUCCGCGUGUAGCAGUGAAAUGCGUAGAUAUGCGGAGGAACACCGAUGGCGAAGGCAAUCCCCUGGACCUGUACUGACGCUCAUGCACGAAAGCGUGGGGAGCAAACA